rnacentral:rRNA from 1 species
ACGGCUACCUUGUUACGACUUCACCCCAGUCAUCAAUCCUGCCUUCGGCAGCGCCCCCCUUGCGGUUAGGCUACUGACUUCGGGCAUUACCGACUUCCAUGGUGUGACGGGCGGUGUGUACAAGGCCCGGGAACGUAUUCACCGCGGCAUGCUGAUCCGCGAUUACUAGCAAUUCCAACUUCACGCAGGCGGGUUGCAGCCUGCGAUCCGAACUGGGACCAUUUUUAGGGUUUUGCUCUGCCUCGCGGCUUUGCUUCCCUCUGUUAAUGGCCAUUGUAGUACGUGUGAGGCCCAGGUCAUAAGGGGCAUGAUGAUUUGACAUCAUCCCCACCUUCCUCCGUUUUGUCAACGGCGGUCCUGCUAGAGUGCUCUUGCGUAGCAACUAACAGUAAGGGUUGCGCUCGUUGCGGGACUUAACCCAACAUCUCACGACACGAGCUGACGACAACCAUGCACCACCUGUCUCCGCUUUCCCCGAAAGGCACCUAACGUAUCUCUACCUCGUUAGCGGGAUGU